rnacentral:rRNA from 1 species
UACGGAGGAUCCGAGCGUUAUCCGGAUUUAUUGGGUUUAAAGGGUGCGUAGGCGGUUUGAUAAGUUAGAGGUGAAAUGUCGGGGCUCAACCCCGAAACUGCCUCUAAUACUGUUGGACUAGAGAAUAGUUGCGGUAGGCGGAAUGUAUGGUGUAGCGGUGAAAUGCUUAGAGAUCAUACAGAACACCGAUUGUGAAGGCAGCUUACCAAACUAUAUCUGACGUUGAGGCACGAAAGCGUGGGUAGCAAACAGG